rnacentral:rRNA from 1 species
AAAGAUUAAGCCAUGCAUGUAUAAGUAUAAACGAUUUUAUCGUGAAACCGCGAACGGCUCAUUAUAACAGCUAUAAUCUACUUGAUCUUGACUUCCUACUUGGAUAACUGUGGUAAUUCUAGAGCUAAUACAUGCACCAAAGCUCCGACCUUACGGGAAGAGCGCAUUUAUUCGAACAAAACCAAGCGGCUUCGGCCGUUCGCAGUUGACUCAGAAUAACUAAGCUGAUCGCAUGGUCUUGAACCGGCGACGUGUCUUUCAAGUAUCUGCCUUAUCAACUUUCGAUGGUAGUGUAUCUGACUACCAUGGUGGUGACGGGUAACGGAGGAUAAGGGUUCGACUCCGGAGAAGGGGCCUGAGAAAUGGCCACUACGUCUAAGGAUGGCAGCAGGCGCGCAAAUUACCCACUCUCAGAAUGAGGAGGUAGUGACGAGAAAUAACGAGACCGUUCUCUACGAGGCCGGUCAUCGGAAUGGGUACAAUUUAAACCCUUUAACGAGUAUCUAUGAGAGGGCAAGUCUGGUGCCAGCAGCCGCGGUAAUUCCAGCUCUCAAAAUGCAUAGAAUUAUUGCUGCGGUUAAAAAGCUCGUAGUUGAAUCUAGGCCAGAGGCCUGGUCCACUCCUUGAGUGCGUACUAGGUUCUUUGGCUUUUCGUCGGUUUUCUUGUCGUCGCCUUUAUUGGUGGCGGCAAGUGGCUGACAAUUUUACUUUGAACAAAUCAGAGUGCUCAAAACAGGCGUUUCGCUUGUAUGCUUUUGCAUGGAAUAAUAGAAUAUGACUUCGGUCUAGUUUUAUUGGUUUUAUAGAUCGUUGUAAUGAUUAAAAGAGGCAAACGGGGGCAUUCGUAUUGUUGCGUGAGAGGUGAAAUUCUUGGACCGCAGCAAGACGACCUACAGCGAAAGCAUUUGCCAAGAAUG